GCUAAGUACCAAGCCGCUAGAACAGUUUAAUCGCUGGCUUUGUAACCAUUAGCAGUUACGUCUAAAUCUCGAGCAGGCUUUCCUCUAAAGGAAUCCUUACGGGACAGUGACUGAAGAAUUAAAAAAUAGAAGGUAUACUGUGUUAAGUUUAGAAUAAUGAAGACAUGAAAGAAUGACCUCACUCAAAUUUUAUCUGGUAUGCGCAUAGAUCGUGAGACAAAACUUUUGAAGAACUGUGUGACCAAAUUACUUCCCUUUUUAGUCUCCAUGUUUUGUAAGAAUACACAGUACAGAUUCAGAAUCCAUGGGCUGUCAUUUGUACACUGACGGUUAAAGAUUAAAAGUGCUUAAUACUGUUGGUAGUGAAAAGACCAUCUGAGAUAACUAUCUGAAUGUUUAGUAAAAAUUUAACAGAAAAGUACUAUAACCACCUGGGGGUGUAACAAAUGCAUGUUUUAUUUAUAUUUGUCAGUAACAGGCAAAGUCAGACACAAGAAGAUAUGUCAUUUCUAACAUUUCUUAAAAAUAUGCUCAAAAUUUGGAAAGUAUCUAUGUUUCUAGUAACUGCUCUAGUUCAUUUUUUUUUUUUUUUAAUGUAUAAGACACCGGUACCUACCAUUUUUGCUUCUUACAAGGCUUUUUGUUUGUUUUGCUAAUUUUGUUUAGACCAAUGGAAGACGUGGUUUUGUAUUCUAAAUGAAAAAUUACGUUGUUUUCACUGAAGAUAGGCUAUGUAAACUGCAGAAAUGACAGGAACAAGAGGAACAAAACCCUCUACCCUAAGAACAGCAGAAAAUUCUGACAACCGCAGGCACCAUUCAGCCUGAGAGGAGGUCACAGUCCCCAAGAAAAUGCUUCGCACCUCUCCAUCAUCUGGUCAGCAAGUGUGCACAGAGCUGAGACCCAUGUAGGGGACACAGAAAUAGCAAUGUUUUGUGUCGUAAAACUGUAAGGACUGCGAGACUUGAGAAGGGGGACUCACGGGAAAAGGGGAAUCAGGCAGGAUGAAACACUCACAGAAAGACGGGAACUGAAACGCAGAGCUACUGAAUGCGGUAUUCCGAGAAGGAUGGUAGAUUUAUUCCUUGGACGUUUGCUAUGAAAAGAGAACCUGAGGUAAAAUGAGAAAAGAGGCUAGGAACUAAACUCUCAUUAUUAAAUCCAUUAUCUGGCCAUCAGAGUAACACUCCUUUGUUUUUAAAGACAACAACACACACUUUCAUAAAUGAAUCUGAACCUCACGAAAUUUCAGUGGUUUUCAGUCUAGUGAUGAGCCACUGCGACCUGAGGAGCCUUAAUCUCUCCUGACAGGUGAACCUGUGCACAGCCCCACACAGGGAGGAGGAAAGAAGGAAUUUAAACAUCGCUGGAGGUUUUUAUUUUGUGGAACUGAGAUCUGAGGAUCCUCAGAAGCUUUCUGAAUGAAAAGGGAAGCAAUGGUAUGCUCUCCUCAGGUUACAGCUGGGGUAACUGGCAGGUGAGGCAAGGCCUGACUAACUUGGUAGUAGAUGCUGGCCCAGUAUUUCCUGCCUGUUAGGUAGGACACACCGCUUCUGUGACAGUGAAGUGCAUUUUAAAUUAGCAAUUGGGUUUGGCUUUUUCCCUUGUUUUUGGUUAGAAUGGUACUCUAAAAGUGAAGGAUGGUAAAGUCAGUGCUUUUUUCAAAAACUUUUUACAACUACGGAGCACAUGAAAUCAUUUGCGCUGUCUUAAAAUUAAAAUCACAAAGAAAUGGUUAAAGCAAAACUGGAUAGGUAUUCAAACAGUGUAUACAUGAAGUACACUACUGCCUUUUCUUUAACUUUGUAAUAAACUUUUCUUCAGUAGAUAAUCGUAACAAAAUAGGAGACACUCAUGCUAAGGGACAAAAUCAGUAGCAGACCCAGGGCCAAAAGCAGUGGAAUAGAAGUCAUUAUUCGCAUCUCUGGCAGACGUCUUGCUGAGCACUGGAAUAUAUAUAGUAGGUAUUCAAAUAUAUACAUCUCCAGUCCUUUUUAAAAUUUUCAUUUUGAGGAAAGGUCUCACUAGGGUAGCCUUGAUCUUGCAAUCCUGCUUUAGCCUCCCAAGUAGCUGGGGUGUUAGGUAUGUAUGUCCCCACUGUAUUAUCUUGAUGGAACUGUCCUCCUCACGCAAGCUGAAUAUAUUCUGUAGAACACAUUCAUUUUAGGAGAACUUGACUUAGAGAAGAGGAAGUAGGAUCAAACUCUGUGCUCAUGAGUUCAGUUCUGUCUUCUGAUCUCAGAAGUAGCAGAAAAGGGAAACACAACCCAAACACUUGGGACUGUUGGUCAAGGGGAAAUUAAGACUCAGAUGACCAAAAUAAUUUUAAUUUUUUACAAUGGAUAUAAAAGGACAUACAAAAUAUAAGAAAAAUCAUCAUUUAUGUUUCAGUAGAUUCUAGAAUAAAACAUUUCCUCCUGUCUAUAAUUAGACUUUACAUAUGGCCCAAACUCCAGCUCUCCAAAAUCACAGAAGAGACAUAAACCAGUCAACUUUAAGAACUAAGAAAAGCAGGUAAGGAUAGAGGGAGGAUAUUCACUGAGAUUCAUGGUCUGUUUGCAUAGCAGGAAGUCACACCACUCCCUGCCGUAACUUCUAAAUGCUAUUCGAUGUAUUAAAAUUUCCUGUUCCUUUGUAUCUUAUAUACUUAUUACAGCUAAAAUAAAAAAUGUAAAAAAAAAAAA